rnacentral:rRNA from 1 species
UGGGGAAUUUUGGACAAUGGGCGAAAGCCUGAUCCAGCAAUGCCGCGUGUGUGAAGAAGGCCUUCGGGUUGUAAAGCACUUUUGUCCGGAAAGAAAUCCUUGGCUCUAAUACAGUCGGGGGAUGACGGUACCGGAAGAAUAAGCACCGGCUAACUACGUGCCAGCAGCCGCGGUAAUACGUAGGGUGCAAGCGUUAAUCGGAAUUACUGGGCGUAAAGCGUGCGCAGGCGGUUUGCUAAGACCGAUGUGAGAUCCCCGGGCUCAACCUGGGAACUGCAUUGGUGACUGGCAGGCUAGAGUAUGGCAGAGGGGGGUAGAAUUCCACUGUAGCAGUGAAAUGCGUAGAGAUGUGGAGGAAUACCGAUGGCGAAGGCAGCCCCCUGGGCAAUACUGACGCUCAUGCACGAAAAGCGUGGGGAGCAAACAGGAUUAGAUACCCUGGUAGUCCACGCCCUAAAACGAUGUCAACUAGUUGUUGGGGAUUCAUUUCCUUAGUAACGUAGCUAACGCGUGAAGUUGACCGCCUGGGGAGUACGGUCGCAAGAUUAAAACUUAAAGGAAUUGACGGGGUCAUAGCUGUUUCCU